GACGAACGCUGGCGGCGUGCUUAACACAUGCAAGUCGAGCGGAAAGGCUCCUUCGGGGGUACUCGAGCGGCGAACGGGUGAGUAACACGUGAGUAAUCUGCCCUUCACUUGGGGAUAACUACCGGAAACGGUGGCUAAUACCCGAUACGACAACUCCACGCAUGUGGUGGUUGUGGAAAGUUUUUUCGGUGGAGGAUGUGCUCGCGGCCUAUCAGCUUGUUGGUGGGGUAAUGGCCUACCAAGGCUUCGACGGGUAGCCGGCCUGAGAGGGUGACCGGCCACACUGGGACUGAGACACGGCCCAGACUCCUACGGGAGGCAGCAGUGGGGAAUAUUGGACAAUGGGCGAAAGCCUGAUCCAGCAACGCCGCGUGAGGGAUGACGGCCUUCGGGUUGUAAACCUCUUUCAGCGGGGACGAAGCGCGGGUAAUGGUGGUGACGGUACCCGCAGAAGAAGCACCGGGCCACUACGUGGCAGCAGCCGCGGUAAUACGUAGGGUGCGAGCGUUGUCCCGAAAUUAUGGGCGUAAAGGGCUCGUAGCGGUUUGUCGCGUCGGGAGUGAAAACACCGGGCUUAACUCGGUGCUUGCUUUCGAUACGGGCAGACUAGAGGCAUGCAGGGGAGAACGGAAUUCCUGGUGUAGCGGUGAAAUGCGCAGAUAUCAGGAGGAACACCGGUGGCGAAGGCGGUUCUCUGGGCAUGUCCUGACGCUGAGGAGCGAAAGUGUGGGGAGCGAACAGGAUUAGAUACCCUGGUAGUCCACACCGUAAACGUUGGGCGCUAGGUGUGGGGCCUAUUCCAUGGGUUCCGUGCCGCAGCUAACGCAUUAAGCGCCCCGCCUGGGGAGUACGGCCGCAAGGCUAAAACUCAAAGGAAUUGACGGGGGCCCGCACAAGCGGCGGAGCAUGCGGAUUAAUUCGAUGCAACGCGAAGAACCUUACCUGGGUUUGACAUACACCGGAAAGCCUUAGAGAUAAGGCCCCUUUUGUCGGUGUACAGGUGGUGCAUGGCUGUCGUCAGCUCGUGUCGUGAGAUGUUGGGUUAAGUCCCACAACGAGCGCAACCCUCGUCCUAUGUUGCCAGCACGUCAUGGUGGGGACUCAUAGGAGACUGCCGGGGUCAACUCGGAGGAAGGUGGGGAUGACGUCAAGUCAUCAUGCCCCUUAUGUCCAGGGCUUCACGCAUGCUACAAUGGCCGGUACAAAGGGCUGCGAUGCUGCAAGGCGGAGCGAAUCCCAAAAAGCCGGUCUCAGUUCGGAUUGGGGUCUGCAACUCGACCCCAUGAAGUCGGAGUCGCUAGUAAUCGCAGAUCAGCAACGCUGCGGUGAAUACGUUCCCGGGCCU
rnacentral:rRNA from 1 species